rnacentral:rRNA from 1 species
UCGAGAAUUUUUCUCAAUGGGGGAAACCCUGAAGGAGCGACGCCGCGUGGAGGAUGAAGGUCUUCGGAUUGUAAACUCCUGUCAUUGAAGAACAAAAUACGUAAGUUAACUGCUUAUGUGUCGAUAGUAUUCGAAGAGGAAGGGACGGCUAACUCUGUGCCAGCAGCCGCGGUAAUACAGAGGUCCCAAGCGUUGUUCGGAUUCAUUGGGCGUAAAGGGAGCGUAGGUGGUCGGGUAAGUCAGAUGUCAAAUUUCGAUGCUCAACGUCGAAUCGCAUUUGAUACUGCCUGGCUAGAGGAAUUGAGAGGAGGCCGGAAUUCACGGUGUAGCAGUGAAAUGCGUAGAUAUCGUGAGGAAGACCAACGGCGAAAGCAGGCCUCUGGAAAUUUCCUGACACUGAGGCUCGAAGGCCAGGGGAGCAAACGGGAUUAGAUACCCCCGUAGUCC